rnacentral:rRNA from 1 species
AUUGAACGCUGGCGGCAGGCCUAACACAUGCAAGUCGAACGGUAACAGGAAGAAGCUUGCUUCUUUGCUGACGAGUGGCGGACGGGUGAGUAAUGUCUGGGAAACUGCCUGAUGGAGGGGGAUAACUACUGGAAACGGUAGCUAAUACCGCAUAACGUCGCAAGACCAAAGAGGGGGACCUUCGGGCCUCUUGCCAUCGGAUGUGCCCAGAUGGGAUUAGCUAGUUGGUGGGGUAACGGCUCACCAAGGCGACGAUCCCCAGCUGGUCUGAGGGGAGGACGAGCCACACUGGAACUGAGACGCGGUCCAGACUCCUCCGGGAGGCAGCAGUGGGGAAUAUUGCACGAUGGGCGCAAGCCUGAUGCAGCCAUGCCGCGUGUAUGAAGAAGGCCUUCGGGUUGUAAAGUACUUUCAGCGGGGAGGAAGGGAGUAAAGUUAAUACCUUUGCUCAUUGACGUUACCCGCAGAAGAAGCACCGGCUAACUCCGUGCCAGCCGCCGCGGUAA